UCCUCCUCCUCCCACAAAAACAAAAACUGCAACAACUUCAAACCCCAUCCAAAGGGUAAUGGCAGAAGCUGAGGAUUAUGGGUUCGCCCCAGAUGAAAUGCUAGUGAAUGAGAACCUUGGCUACCCUAAAGCCUUCGCAAAACUCUGCCGUGACAGGGGUUUCAGUACCUACAGCCAUGGCCCUCCCUUUACCUUCAUCCCUUAUGCUUUGCAAGAACAAGAGG
rnacentral:lncRNA from 1 species